rnacentral:rRNA from 1 species
UACAGAGGGGGCAAGCGUUAUUCGGAAUUAUUGGGCGUAAAGGGCGCGUAGGCGGCUUGGCAAGUGGAAGGUGAAAUCCCUCGGCUUAACCGAAGAACUGCCCUCCAAACUGCUUUGCUUGAGGCCGGGAGAGGUGAGUGGAAUUCCCAGUGUAGCGGUGAAAUGCGUAGAUAUUGGGAGGAACACCAGUGGCGAAGGCGGCUCACUGGACCGGUUCUGACGCUGAGGCGCGAAAGCGUGGGGAGCAAACGGG